rnacentral:lncRNA from 1 species
AGCCAUUUUUUAUUCAUCUACUUUUUUAAUAAACUUGUGUGCAAUAUGAUAUAUUGAUCUCGUCGAGUUGUUUCUCUUGUGUUGUGGUUUUCAUAGUAGGAAUCUCAGUUUUAACCAGGGUCCUGUAAUUUCAUUUUGCACUGGGCUCUGCAAAUUAUGCAGCCGGCUGGCCAAGAGAGAACUGUGGGAAGACCUGUGCUGAGGAGGGAGAAAUAGCAGUGUAGCAGGAUGAGUCGCAGACAAAACACCUCAGACACCAGAUUAAAGAAGGAAGAGGUUUUUAUU